GCUGCGCAAGCUCGACGCGCGCACUCUUGUCUGCUUACGAGGGCUCCUCCCUUCAGCUUUGGUCCCUCGGGGCGUCUGGGCAGCCUACGCUUUCCGACUGGAAUCAGCCAUUUUACCAAGAAAGUUGGGUUUCUUUUACUGGCAAAUAGUACUUCAAGAGCACAGUCUUAUGUAAGAUUCAAACAUCCACAACUAAGGCCAUUAAAUUACAAAAGAAAAAAAAAAGACUGCCAUAAGUACAGUCUAUAUAAAGACUGUCCAGGACAAAAACUGGCCACUCCAUUCAGCAUUGACAGCAGUAUUUAAAGCUGGUGCAUGGUGAGGUGAAGUUUCUCAAGGGCAAAGACAAUGCCUUCAUGCAUGUUCAGUGUCUGCCCCCGUGGGCUUUGAAAUGAUCGCUGACAAUGGGGGAUCUGCAGUGACUUCUCUGCCUCUGCCAAAGCCCAGGGGUGCUGCUCCCUAAUUCUAAGGAUUCUAAUGAGACUCAGAGCAGGUGUAACACAGGGCAUGGAGCUUCCUGAGCAAGAGGCUGGCUAACAAACUGUGGACGUGGUACUUAGACACAUUAAGAGACAUUACAGGGACACCUGCAAGUAUGUCUCCCUGGGGAGAAGCCAAGUGCAGAUGCUAUGGCCACAGAUGAUAUGGUUUGGCUCUGUGUCCCCACUCAAAUCUCAUCUCAAGUUGUAAUCCCUGGAUGUCGAGGGAGGGACCUGGUGGGAGGUGAUUGGAUUGGUUCGCAUGAUAGUGAGGGAGUUCUCACGAGAUCUGGUUGUUUGAUAAGUGUCUGGCAUUUCUCCUGUGCUGUCUCUCCUGCCACCUUGUGAAGAAGGUGCCUGCUUCUCCUUCGCCUUCCGCCAUGAUUGUAAGUUUCCUGAGGCCUCCCUAGCAAUGCAGAACUGUGAGUCAAUUAAACUUCCUUUCUUUAUAAAUUACCCAGUCUCGAAUGGUAUCUUUAUACCAAUGUAAGAACAGACUAAUACAGACAGGGACCACAAAGCAAGAAUUUAGGGCCUGAAGAGUCUUCAGCAUUGAAAAUCUUCACUCAGAAUCCCUGGUCCCUGCAUUGAGAGCACUGGGUAGAUCACUGAACUCCCCUGACAACACUGCAAAGUGCUGGGUACCUACGAUGCCACACCCUCUCCUCUGACCUCACAGUGUUAAAGUAAGGGGGCCCAUAGUACACGAUGUUACUGUCAGCAUGCUAUGUGUCGUGACUCAGCAACAGCACAUUCACCAAAGGAGAAACCCCUCCGUCUCUCUAUCUAGGCAGCCAGCCUUUUGACUUGUAUUCGGGGAUCUGGAGACUAUCAUUCCCUUAGGAAUUAGGUUCACUAGAGGAGCAUUCUGGUCACUAUGGGACAUUUUCCUCUGAAUUUGAAAGUAAACAGCCCCUGAAAGCAAC
rnacentral:lncRNA from 1 species